rnacentral:rRNA from 1 species
CGUAGGGCGCAAGCGUUGUCCGGAAUUAUUGGGCGUAAAGAGCUCGUAGGCGGUUUGUCGCGUCUGCUGUGAAAACCUAAGGCUCAACCUUGGGCUUGCAGUGGGUACGGGCAGACUAGAGUGCGGUAGGGGUGACUGGAAUUCCUGGUGUAGCGGUGGAAUGCGCAGAUAUCAGGAGGAACACCGAUGGCGAAGGCAGGUCACUGGGCCGCAACUGACGCUGAGGAGCGAAAGCAUGGGAGCGAACAGGAUU